UACAGAGGUCUCAAGCGUUGUUCGGAUUCAUUGGGCGUAAAGGGUGUGUAGGUGGCGCCGUAAGUCAGGUGUGAAAUCUCGGGGCUUAACUCCGAAACUGCAUUUGAUACUGCGGUGCUUGAGGACUGGAGAGGAGACUGGAAUUUACGGUGUAGCGGUGAAAUGCGUAGAUAUCGUAAGGAAGACCAGUGGCGAAGGCGGGUCUCUGGACAGUUCCUGACGCUGAGGCACGAAGGUCAGGGGAGCAAACGGG
rnacentral:rRNA from 1 species